rnacentral:lncRNA from 1 species
CAGAGAAGUUGGCAGUCUGCAACCUGGAAGAGGCCCUCAUCAGAACCUGCCCAUGCAUGAAACACCCCGAUCUUGAACUUCUACCCUCCAGAACUGUGAGAAAUAAAUGCUUGUUGUGUAAACCACCCAGUCGAUGGUACUCUGUGAUAGCAACCUGAAAUACGAUUUCCAUGUUACAAAAGGAAUUUGGGACACAGAGAGGCCUGCCAGAAUGAAAAUAAAGAACAAAGACAACAAAGAAAACAGCCGACAGGAACAGGAUCUUGGGAGCCAAAUAUCAGGGUCUCACUCUGUCACCCUGGCUAGAGUGCAGUGGUGCAAUCUCAACUCACUGCAGUGUCAACCUUCUGGGCUCGAGUGAUCCUCCCACCUCAGCCUCCUGAGUAACUGGGACCACAGGUGCAUACUACCACACCUGGCUAAUUUUUGUAUUUUUCGUAGAGACGGGGUUUUGCUAUGUUCCCCAGGCUGGUCGUGAACUCCUGAACUCAAGCAAUCCCCCUGCCUUGGCCUCCCAGAGUGUUGGGAUUACAGGCGUGAGACACCAUGCCCGGCCUGGGCUCCCAAGUUUUUACUUUGCUUUCACGUUCCCUGGAGUCUUCAGAGGGAGCAUGGCUCUGUUGACACCGUGAUUUCUGACUUUUGGCCUCCAGAACUGCGGGACAAUACAUGUCUGUUGUUUAAAGCCACCCAGUUUGUGAUAAUUACAGCAGCCCUAGGAAGCAAUAUACUUAGUAUGGAAAAACAAUGUGAAAUUUCUCAUUAGUAAUUUUUUAUGUGAAUUAAAUGAUUGAUUUGAUAAUAUUCAUUUGGGUUAAUACAAAUAUAUU